UCGAACGUGCCAAGAGUCACCCCAAAGCCAUCAAAUCACUAUAUAAGAUAAUCAUAUACAUACCUAUUGGUGAUCUCUAAGAUCUGAUUCUUGUAUAUAUAUACUAUAUUAAUCCCAACAAGCUUUAUCAAGCCAUAAAUAUACUACCAAGAUAUAACCACAAGAUGUACCACAUAACUCUUGUACUCAUUGCAAUAUCUUUCGACCACAAAAGCUGCUAAUUACUAAAUCCGACACCGAUAAUAUACCUCAUAUCAAUUAAAACCUCGUUUCAAACAUUUUCUAAGAGUGCUAUCAAUGAAAGAAACAUAUAGAAACUCAUAAUCAACUAUCAUAUCAAAAAGUCAUGGUGUUCUCUUGUCCGACAAGAACUAUUGCCAAAUUCCUCACUGACUAAUGGCAGUCUUCUUCUUCCAAACAUACCUUAUACAAAUCCCAUUGCACUAAUUUCGGCAACAAUAACCUCGUCUCACCCGGUACAAUUUUCUCGACUGACAGGUCACAUCAAAUGCCAUCUAGAACUGCGUACGACGCAAUAUGUGAGCCAAACAAGGAACAACUCGAAUAUGACCAACAAUGUAAAGAGAAUCAAAUAAGAGAACUGUCCAACAAGUUCAAUAAAAAUAACAACAAAAUAAUCAUGUCGUGAACCAAUCCCACAAGGGAGAAAAAAGACACACAAAAUAAGCAUAGACUGUGUCAAAUCAUAAUCCCGAUGCAGUGCAUAACCCGAUCUAACAUAUCAAUCCACAUAGAAUACUCAUUGAGCCAUAAUGCUCAAAAUCAACAAACACAUGUGUACCAAAAACAAACACGUAAAGUGCAUCAACACAACCAUGGGGAGACGGAUAGCAUAAUAUACUACAAACAGGCAAAGCAUAACUAAGGUGCAAUAAGCAAUUCAAUAUCUCAAGAGCCAUUUCGCUCAAAUAUCACCACAAGGCAUAAACAUGACCACAUCAUGCGUGUGAAUAAUCAAGUCAUCUCAUAACUCAUUAUAGCAUAAUAGAAUAACACAUGAAAUACAUUAGGGUGUGAAUAAGAUUAUCUCCACCUGAUGACACACCAUAGAAAAAUGUUGAUAUGUACAUAAACCCAAUCCAGUGUAAAAUAUACAUGCUCAUUAGGCCUACCAAUGGGACUCCAAACCAAUUUGAAUCAUUCCAAAAUAUAUAAAUAGCCUCCCCAAAAGUCUACAAUGACCAUGUCCAUGACACAAUCAAUCAGUUGUGAAUCCUGAGCACACUUCCACAGUCUGUAAUCAAAGGUAUAGUCUGUCUCUACUAAAUAUAAUCUCCAAACUACGAUAGUACAAGAAUAUUUAUACCUAAUCUCUAAGUCUCCUACUUAAAAUAUUUAUACGUCACGCAUACACAAUCACCCCAUAGAGAUAGUCCCAUAACCUUUCGCACCAAAUAGGAAAACUUGAACAUCAACAACUACCGACCAACUCAUUUCUAUAGUACAAGUAGAGCAGCUAUAAGUCAAUACACAAUGCGUAUUGUGCAACACACACUCUCCUCAGGUGAUACAAGAUAUUGCUAGCAUUUCUUUUAAUAUCUGAAAUCUCUCGUGCUAUCUAGAACUCAUGAUAUUCCUUUCAAAACUAAACAGCAACCUCGUCCAUUCAAUCCCAAUUCCACAUACACUACUAAAGAAAGCUGAAAUUAGCUACGAACGUCGUCGCUAAUCUGUCGCUAAAUCGCCCGUAGCUAGUAGAAUUUCUUAAUAAUCUGUCACUAAUCUGCCACUAAAUGAGAUUAGAGAUGGAUUUCUCUAUUUAGCUACAAGAUUUGUUCGUCACUAAAAUUAGAUUUUUUAGUAGUGACAGUUUACUAUGUCUAUCAUGCUAUUAUGCAAAAAUACGAGAAUCUUGUUAUCAACUCUAAAUUACGAAUAUGAUACAAACUUCAUCGACCAAAAACCUUCCACUUGACUCAAUUCAGGAGAGAAUCACAAUAUGCAACAAACUUGCCUAUAGAAGACACCAACUACAGGUCGUGGUCAAAAUUGUCACAAACUCUUAGAAUCCGUUUUUACAUAACCAAGCCAUCAAAAUUAAAUCUUACUAGAUAAACCAAGUCAUGCAGACUACCAAACCCAAAAGUGUUGACAUAAAAUACCUGCAUAGCCUUAUCAUACCAAAGGAACUAAUUAUUUUUAUUACCAUGAUGAUCUAAGCCACUAUUAAGUUGACCCAACUUCUUCAAAUUUCCUCUUGACUUUCCUUCAAUAUAGCACUUCUCUUUCCUAGCACACUAUAGAUCUUAAUCAAGACUGAUUCCAGGUGUGACGACCCGGCCGGUUGUCUUAAGAAUUAAUACCGCGAUCCCCCUAUUAACUGCUUUUCCCGUAUUUAUUUCUACUAUUUUGAUUUGUCGGGAUGUUUGGUUUUGAGUUUCGGAGAGUUUUUGGACACUUAGUCCCUAAAUGAGAGCUUAAGUGUUGGAAAUUUGACCAUAGUCGGAAUAAUGUGAAGACGUGCUCGGAAUGGAAAUCUGAUGGUUCUAUUAGCUCCGUUGGGUGAUUUUCGGGUGAGGAGCGUGUUAGGAUUGUGUUUUGGAGGUCUGUAGCUAAUUUAGGCUUGAAAUGCCAAAAGUCAAAAUUUUAAAGUUUCCGGUUCGAUAGUGAGAUUUUGAUCUGAGGGUCGGAAUGGAAUUCCAGAAGUUGGAGAAACUCUAUAGUGUUGAAUGUGACGUGUGUGCAAACUUUCAGGUCAUCAGACGAGGUUUGAUAGACUUUUUAAUCGAGAGCGUAUUUUUUUAGAGUUUUGGAAUUUUUAGGCUUGAAUCUGUGGUUUAUUCGUCGUUUCAAUGUUGCUUUAGGUGUUUUAAGGAUUGGUAUAAGUUUAGACGGUGGUAUUAUACUUGUUGGUGCCUUUGGUUGAGGUUCCGGGGGCCUCGGGAUGAUUUCGGAUGGUUGACAGAAGGAUUUUGGAGUUUGGAAUUGUAGCUUUAGCUGGUUUUCUGUCAUCACCGCACCUACAAGUGUAGGAUCGCAGGUGCGGAGCCACAUAAGCGGCAUUUGGCAUCGCAAAAGUGGAAAUUGGGAGGUUCAGUAGGAGCUGCAGAAGCGGUAGAAUUUUUGCAGGAGCAGUACCACAUCUACGGAUGGGGAGUGGCAGAUGCAGAGUUAGGCUGAGUUAGUGAUUGUCACAGAUGCGACCAUUGGUCCUCAAAAGCGGGAUCACAGAUGCGGUCCCACGGCCGCAUAUGCAAAAAUUGCUGGGUAGAAAUAUAUAAAUACUUGCCUUCGAGAAAUUUAGUUAUUUUUCACCAUAUUUCAAACGGAGAGAAGCUUGGGAAGCAUUUUGCAAGAGGGAUUUUUAAAGGAGUUCAUUGGGGUAAGGUAUUUGGUNNNNNNNNNNNNNNNNNNNNNNNNNGAACUCGUGAGAGUGUGAGGAUUUUGGAAAUGUAAAUUUUACCAGAUUCCGAGACGUGGGCUCAAGGGGUGUUUUAGUCAUUUUAGCUAAUUUCACGUAUUAGCUUAGAAUUUAAUUAUAGAAUCAGUUACUUGAAGUGUUAUUUACAUUAUGAAAUUGAAUUGAAUAGAUUUGGGCCAUUUGGAGUCGAGUACUCGUGGCAAGAGCGUGGUUUCGGAUUGAUUGAGUUGGUUCGAGGUAAGUGGCUUGCCUAACCUUGUGUGGGGGACUUUCCCUUUAGAAUUUGGUAUUACUAUUAAUUGAAAUGUCUUGUACGUGAGGUGACGAGUGCGUACUUGUGCUAAUUGUUGAAAAUCCGAUUUUUCAUUAAGUAAUUACUAGUAUGUUUCUUUUUCUGUUUUUAUUACUUGCACUAUUAAGCUUGUGGUUAGCUUAGGAAAGCAUGUUUAAGUAAUUUAAUUGCUCAAACUGCCUUAUUUGAAUUCUAUGUAGCAUGUUAGGCUAGAACUACUUGUUUGCCCUAAUAUGAAAUUUGACAUUUCUGAAUAUUUUCCUGUUGUUGCUGUGUAUUUACAUUGGGACUAUAGAUGUGGGAUUCCAGUAGCUCCCCCCCCCCCCUUAUCUGUUUACAUUUGGGACUAUGGAUGUGGGAUUCCGGUAGAUCGCCCUGUACAGUUAUAUGGAACUACGGAAAUGCACCUGGUAGAUUCCCCCAGUACUGGGUAUUUACAUUUGGGACUACGGAACGGGAUUUCGGUAGAUCCCCGUGCACUAUGAGUUGGACUACGGGACGGGAUCCCGAGAGAUUCAUUGGAUAUGUAUAUUUGGGACUAUAGGACGGUAUCCUUGGAGAUCCCCGAUUGUUAUUUUUGGUAGUGAGUCGUAUUUCUCUCUGUGUACUUUGCCUCUGUAGUAGUUGUUGCUUUCCUUUAUCCUUUAUAUCUUGUGUUGCUUUUACUGUUGUACUUAUUUAUACUAUUUUGUUAUACACUGUCGAACCUUAUAUUUUUAUUUAACCUCAGUAGGGCCCUGACCUUCCUCGCUACUAUCCCACCGAAGUUAGGCUUGGCACUUACUGAGUACCACUGUGGUGUACUUAUGCCCUUUCUGUGCAUGUUUUUCAUGUGCAGAUCCAGGUACUUUGACUCAGACUUACCAUCCUUAAGGCGAGGCGACCCUUCUGAGACUUAGAGGUAUAUCUGCCGCGUCCUCAGAUCGAGGAGUCUCUCUCUAUUCUCCCUUGUAGUUACAACCCUUAUGUAUUUACUUCGUUUUAGACUAUUCUGGAGUUAGAGCACUAUAUAGUAUCCUUAGCUUGUGAUUCAUGGGUUUCCGAAUUUUGGGAAUAUGUACUAGCCUUUGAGAGUUAAAUAUUAUGUAUGCCGAGCGGCAUUUUUAAACGUUGUUUUAUUACUCUAUUUCUAUUUUAAAUUGUUUUCUUCUGCGAAUUUGUAUAUCUUCCACAUUUUAGGCUUACCUAGACAUAGAGACUAGGUGUCAUCACGAUGGUUCACGGAGGGCAAACCGGGGUCGUGACAAGUUGGUAUCAGAGCUCUAGGUUCAUAGGAGUCAUGAAUCACAAGCCGGUUUAUUAGAGUCACAUUUAUCGGUAUGGAGAUGUUUGUACUUAUCUACGAGAGGCUAUGUAACUGUUAGGAAAACUUCCAUUUUAUUUGAUUUUCUUGCCGUGCGAUAUUUUGGACAUCACAAUUCUAAAUCUCUGUCUUCUAUUCUCUCACAGAUGGUGAGGACACGCACUACACGAGAUGAUCAAGCGCCCGCACCCCUUACUACAGCCGUUAGAGAUCGGGGCCGGGUAGAGGCCGAGGACGCGCACGUGGUGCAGCCAGAGCACCUGCGCGAGCUGCCACCGAGGAACCACCAGCAGUUCCAGCCGGAGUUUAGGCACCUGAUAUGCCUACUGCUACUACUACUCCAGUACUUCAGGAGACUCUGGCACAGUUCACGAGUAUGUACACCACUUUGGCUCAGGCAGGGUUGCUUUCCCUUGCUGCAGCUACAUCUUAGGCCGGGGGAGGAGCAGAGACUCCCGCUGCCCAGACUCCUGAGUAGCGAGUGCAUGUUGAGCAGGUCCCUGAGAUUAUUCUUGUACAGCCUGCAGUCCGAGAUCAGCCCGAGGACAGGGCAGCAGCUUCCAAGGAUGAGCAGUUGAGGCUUGAGAGGUUCUAGAAGUAUAAGCCUCCUAUAUUCAGUGGUCUAGCAUUGGUUGAUGCUCUGGGAUUUCUAGAUGAGUGCUACCGCAUUCUCUGUACCAUGGGUAUAUCAAGAUAGAGCGGGGUUUCCUUUAGUACUUUCUAGCUUCGAGGAGUCGUCUAUGAGUGGUGGCGCACCUGUGAGUUAGAUAGUCCGGAUGAGGCUGCUUAACUGACUUGGACUCAGUUUUUAGAUCUGUUCCUGAGAGAGUAUGUUCCUUAAAGCCUUAGGGAAGUGUGGCACACAAAGUUUGAGCAUUUGUGCUAGGGUGCUAUGACUGUCUUAGAAUAUGUAGUUUGUUACACUAGUUUGGCUAGGCAUGCACCAGCCUUGGUUUCUACUGUUCGCUAAAGGGUUCGCCAGUUUAUUGAGGGCUUUAUUCCCAACAUCAGAUCUGGCAUGGCUCGUGAGUUGGAGAAGGAUAUUUCUUAUCAUCAGGUGGUGAGAAUUGCUAGGAGGAUUGACGAUAUGCAUGUUAGAUAGAGAGAGAGAGGAGGCCAAGAGGUCACAAGAGUCGGGCCAUUAUUCUGAAACCCCUGCCCCAGCUGCAAGUCAUCAUGGUAGGGGUUAUAUGAGUCGCCCUAUUCAUUUAGCUCUUCCAGUAGCCAGUGGUAUUCCAAUUCCUCCUAGGCCUCCGGAGCCUUAUUAUGCACCUCCGGUAUCUAGUGCGCCUCCUGCGUGGGAUGCUUUCAGAGGUCAGUCCAGCAGACCUGGCCUGAGCCAGUCACAGCCACUACGUCCUCCUAGAGCUUGUUUUUAGUGUGGUAACACACACCAUAUGGUGAUGGAUUUCCCUAAACUUGGGAGGGGUGCACCUCCACAGACUUCUCAGCCACAGCGUGCCCCGCAGAGUUCUCAGGCUAUGGUUACAGCUCCAGUUGCUACCCUACCUGCUCAGCCAGCUAGAGGUGGUGGUUGGGGAGGUAGAGGUCGCCCUAGAGGGGGAGUCAAGGCCCGAUACAAUGCCCUUCCUACCCAUACCGGGGCAGUUGCCUCCGAUUCUUUCAUCACAGGUAUUAUACUGGUUUGUCACAGAGGUACAUCAGUUCUAUUCGAUCCAGUCUCCACUUACUAUUAUGUGUCUUCUUAUUUUGCUCCGUAUUUGGGUGUACCUCGGAAUUCUUUGAGUUACCCUGUUUAUGUUUCUACUCCUGUAGGAGAUCUCUUGUUGUGGACCGCAUUUAUCGGUCGUGUUUGGUUGCUCUUAGUGGUUUUGAGACCAGAACCGAUUUAUCCUGGGCAUGGACUGGUUGUCGCCCCAUUAUGCUAUUCUUGAUUGUCACUCCAAAACCGUGACGCUGGCUAUGCUAGGUGUACCGCAUAUGGAGUGGAGGGGUACUUUAGAUCACAUAACCAGUAGAGUUAUUUCUUUUCUUAAAGCUCAGCAUAUUAUUGAGAAGGGGUGUGACGUGUAUUUAGCUUGUGUGAGGGAUGUCAGUAUUGAUACCCCUUUAGUUGAUUCAGUUCCAGUAGUACGGGAUUUUCCCAAUAUGUUUCCAACUUAUCUUCCAAGCAUGUCGUUUGAUAGAGAUAUUGAUUUUGGCAUUGAUUUGUUUUCAGGCACUCAGCCCAUUUCUAUUCCUCUGUAUCGUAUGGCUCCUCCUGAGUUGAAGGAUUUGAAGGAUUAGUUACAGGAAUUGCCUUAUAAGGGUUUUAUUUGGCCCAAUGAAUCACCUUGGGGUGCUCCUAUCUUGUUUGUGAAGAAAAAGGAUGGUUCUAAGCACAUUUGUAUUGAUUAUCGCCAGUUGAACAAGGUUACAGUGAAGAACCGUUAUCCUUUACCUCGUAUUGAUGAUCUGUUUGACUAGCUUCAGGGUGCACGGGUGUUUUCUAAGAUUGACUUAUGCUCAGGUUACCAUCAGUUGAAGAUUCGAGAACCAGAUAUCCCGAAGAUUGCUUUCAAGACUCGGUAUGGUCAUUACGAGUUCCUUGUUAUGUCAUUUUGGCUGAUCAAUGCCCUAGCAGCUUUUAUGCAUUUGAUGCACAGUGUGUUCCUGCCGUAUCUUGACUCGUUCAUCAUUAUCUUUAUUAAUGCUAUUCUGGUGUAUUGUUGGAGUCGGGAAGAUUAUGAGCGGCAUCUGAGGACUGUGCUUCAGACUAUGAGAGAGAAGAAGUUAUAUUCUAAGUUCUCGAAAUGUGAAUUUUGGUUAGAUUAUGUGGCGUUCUUAGGCCACGUGGCAUCGAGUGAGGGUAUUCAGGUGGAUAUGAAGAAAAUAGGGGUUGUGCAUAGUUGGCCCACACCAUCCUCAACUACAGAGAUCUGCAGUUUCCUUGGCUUGGCGGGUUACUACCGCCGUUUUUUGGAGGGGUUUUCAUCAAUUGCAGCCCCUAUGACCAGGUUGACCCAGAAGGGUGCUCUGUUUCAGUGGAUGGAAGAGUGUGAAGCGAGCUUUCAGAAGCUCAAGACAGCUUUGACUACAACCCUAAUUUUGAUACUGCCUACAGAUUUAAGGUCUUAUACGGUCUAUUGCGAUGCCUCGAGGGUUGGCCUCAGAGCGGUGUUGAUGCAGGACGGUAGGGUGAUUGCCUACGCGUCCAGAUAGUUGAAGGUACAUAAGAAGAAUUAUCCGGUCCACGACCUUGAGUUAGCUGCCAUUGUUCAUGCCCUGAAGAUCUGGCGUCAUUAUUUGUAUGGUGUUCCCUAUGAGAUUUAUACUAACCAUCGGGGCUUGCAGUACUUGUUCAAGCAAAAGGAUCUAAAUCUGCACCACAAGAGGUGGUUAGAGUUGCUGAAGGACUAUAAUAUCACUAUUUUGUAUCAUACGGUCAAGGCCAAUAUGGGGGUCGAUGCCUUGAGUCGUCGGGCAGAGAGUUUGGGGAGUUAGGCUUAUUUACCAGCAUCGGAAAGGCCUAUGGCGAUGGAUGUUCAUGCCUUAGCCAGCCUGUUUGUGAGAUUGGACCUUUCGGAGCUCAGUCGGGUUCUAGCUUGCGUGGUUUCUCGAUCUUCCUUAUUUGAUCGUAUCAGGGAGCAUCAGUAUGAUAACCCUCAUUUGCUUGUCCUCAAGGACAAGGUUCAGCAAUGUGAUGCCAGAAAUAUGACUAUUAGUGAUGAUGGUGUAUUGAGGAUGUAGGGUCGAAUUUGUGUACACAAUGUUGAUGGGCUUCGGGAGUUCAUUCUGGAGGAGGCCCAUAAUUUGCAAUAUUCCAUUCAUCCGGGUGCCGCGAAGAUGUAUUAGGAUUUGAGACAGCACUACUGGUGGAGGCAGAUUAAGAAAGAUAUAGUUGGAUUUGUAGCUCGAUACCUCAACUGUCAGUAGGUGAAGUAUGAGCACCAGAGGUCGGGUGGGUUGUUUUAGUAGAUAGAGAUUCCAGAGUGGAAGUGGGAAUGGAUCACCAUGGACUUUGUAGUUGGGCUCCCACGGACUUUGAGAAAAUUCGACGCUAUUUGGGUGAUUGUGGAUCGGCUGACCAAGUCCGCGCACUUCAUUCCUGUGUGUACUACCUAUUCUUCGGAGCGCCUAGCGGAGAUUUAUAUUCGGAAAAUUGUUCGUCUGCAUGGUAUUCUAGUUUCCAUCAUUUUAGAUAGAGGUACUCAGUUUACAUCACGGUUCUGGAGGGCCGUUCAUCAUGAGUUGGGUACUCGGGUGGAGUUGAGUAUAUUAUUUCACCCUCAUACAGAUAGACAGUCCGAGCGUACAAUUCAGAUUCUUGAGGAUAUGCUUUGUGCGUGUGUUAUUGAGUUCGGAGGGUCUUGGGAUCAGUUCUUGCCAUUGGCGGAGUUUGCUUACAACAACAGCUAUCAGUCCAACAUUCAGAUGGCACCGUAUGAGGCCUUAUAUGGUAGGCGGUGUAGGUCCCUGGUGGGUUGGUUUGAGCCGGGUGAGGCCGGAUUAUUGGGCACAGACUUGGUACAGGAUGCUUUGGAGAAGGUUAAGGUGAUUCAGGAUAGACUCCAUACAGCCCAAUCCAGACAUAAGAGCUACGCGGACCGGAAGGUUCGUGAUGUUUCCUAUAUGGUUGGAAAGCGGGUUCUGCUUCGGGUUUCACCUAUGAAGGGCGUUAUGAGAUUUGGGAAGAAAGGAAAGUUGAGUCUGAGGUUUAUUGGUCCUUUUGAGAUAUUGCGGUGUGUUGGGGAGCUUGCUUAUGAGCUUGCUUUACCUCCCAGCUUGGUAGGAGUUCAUCCGGAAUUUCAUGUUUCGAUGCUCCGGAGGUAUCACGGUGAUCUAUCGCACGUGUUAGAUUUCAGUUCAGUCCAGUUGGACAAGGAUCUAUCCUAUUUUGAGGAGCCGGUGGCAAUAUUGGAUAGGCAGGUUAGAAAGCUGAGGUCAAAGAACAUUGCAUCAGUGAAGGUUCAGUAGCGGGGUCAGCCGGUUGAGGAGGCGACCUGGGAGAUCGAGCAGGAUAUGCACAGCUGUUACCCUUAUCUUUUCACUACUUCAGGUAUGUUUUUAUGCUCGUUCGAGGACGAAUGAAUGUUUAAGUGUAGGAGGUUGUGACGACCCAGCCGGUCGUCUUAAGAAUUAACGCCCCGAUCCCCCUAUUAACUAAUUUCCCUGUAUUUAUAUAUGCUAUUUUGAUUUGCCAGGAUGUUCGGUUUUAAGUUUCGGAGAAUUUUGGAACACUUAGUCCCUAAAUGAGAGCUUAAGUGUUGGAAAUUUUACCGUAGUCGGAACAGUGUGAAGACGGGCUCGGAAUGGAAAUUCAAUGGUUUCGUUGGGUGAUUUCGGGGUGAGGAGCAUGUUCGAAAUGCGUUUUGGAGGUCCAUAGCUAAUUUAGGAUUAAAAUGUCGAAAGUCAAAAUUUUGAAGUUUUCGGUUCGAUAGUGAGAUUUUGAUCCAAGGGUCGGAAUGGAAUUUUGGAAGUUGGAGUAGCUCUGCAGUGUUGAAUGUGACGUUUGGGCAAAAUUUCAGGUCAUUCGGACGAGGUUUGAUAGACUUUUUGAUCGAAAGCGUAUUUUUUUAGAGUUUUGGAAUUUUUAGGCUUGAAUCCGUGGUUGAUUUGACGUUUCGAUGUUGUUUUAGAUGUUUUAAGGAUUGGUAUAAGUUUGGACAGUGGUAUUAGACUUUUUGGUGUCUUUGGUUGAAGUCUCGGGGGCAUCGGGAUGAUUUCAGAUGGUUGACGGAUGGAUUUUGGAGUUUGGAGUUGCAGCUUCAGCUAGUUUUCUGUCAUAACCACACCUGCAAGUGUGGGACCGCUGGUGCGGAGCCGCAGAAGCAGCAUUUGGCAUUGCAGAAGUGGAAAUAGGGAGGUUCAGCAGGAGCCGCAGAAGUGGUAGAAUUUCCACAGGAGUGGUACCGCAUCUGCGGAUGGGGAGUCGCAGAUGCAGAAUUAGGUUGAGUAAGUAAUUGUCGCAGAUGUGACCAUUGGUCCAUAAAAGUGGGAUCGCAGAUGCGGUCCCAGGGCCACAGAUGCGGAAAUCGCUGGGCAGAAACAUAUAAAUACUUGCCUUCGUGAAAUUUAGCUAUUGUUCACCAUAUUUCAAACGGGAAGAAGCUUGGGAAGCACUUUUCAAGAGGGAUUUUCAGAGGAGCUCAUUGGGGUAAGGUCUUUGGUCCCUAAACUCGUUAUUGGAAUAAUUUUUAUCAAUUUAAGCACGAAUAAUUAAGGAAAAACAGUAGUAAUUUGUGGGUUAGGGCUUAACUAAGUAGAGGCCUUUGAGUGAUGAUUUGAGGGACCAAUUGAGGUCCGAGUUUGGUACUUUUAGUAGGACUGAACUCGUGAAAGUGUGAGGAUUCUGAAAAUAUAAAUUUUACCGAAAUUCCAAGAAGUGGACCCGAGGGGUAUAUUGGUCAUUUUACCUAAUUUUGUGUAUUAGCUUAUGAUUUAAUUGUAGAAUCAAUUACUUGAAGUGUUAUUUGCAUUAUGAAAUUGGAUUUAAUAGAUUUGGGCCAUUUGGAGUCGAGUACUCGUGGCAAGAGCGUGGUUUCGGAUGAUUGAGCUAGUUCGAGGUAAGUGGUUUGUCUAACCUUGUGUGGGGGACUUUCCCCUUAGGAUUUGGUAUUAUUAUUAAUUGAAAUGCCAUGUACGUGAGGUGACGAGUGGGUACUUGUGCUAAUUGUUGAAAAUCCGAUUUUUUAUUAAGUAAUUACUAGUAUGUUUCUUUUCCUGUUUUUAUUACUUGUACAUUAAGCAUGUGGUUAGUUUAGGAAAGCAUGUCUAAAUAAUUUAAUUGCUCAAACUGCCUUACCUGAAUUCUGUGCAGCAUGUUAGGCUAGAACUACAUGUUUGCCUUAAUAUGCAAUUUGACAUUUCUGAAUAUUUUCAUGUUGUUGAUGUGUAUUUACAUUGGGACUAUUUACAUCUAGGACUACGGGUGUGGGAUUCCGGUAGAUCCCCCUACACAAUUAUAUGGAACUACGGGAAUGCACCCGAUAGAUUCUCCCAGUACAGGGUAUUUACAUUUGGGACUACGGAACGGGAUUUUGGUAGAUCCCUGCGCACUAUGAGUUGGACUACGGGACGGGAUCCCGGGAGAUCCAUUGGAUAUGUAUAUUUGGGACUACAGGACGGUAUCCUGAGAGAUCUCCGAUUGUUAUUUUUGGUACUGAGUGGUAUUUCUCUCUAUGUACUUUGCCUCUGUAGUAGUUGUUGCUGUCAUUUUUAUCAUGUGUUGCUUUUAUUGUUGUACUUAUUUAUAUUGUUCUGUUCUACACUGUCGAACCUUAUAUUUUUAUUUAACCUCAGUAGGGCCCUGACCUUCCUCGCUACUACCCGACCGAGGUUAGGCUUGGCACUUACUAAGUACCACUGUGGUGUACUUAUGCCCUUUCUGCGCAUAUUUUUCAUGUGCAAAUCUAGGUACUUCGAAUCGGACUUACCAUCCUUUAGGCGAGGCGAACCUUCUGAGACUUUGAGGUAUAUAUGUCGCGUCUGCAGACCGAGGAGUCUCUCUCCAUUCUCCUUUGUAGUUACAGCCUUAUGUAUUUACUUUGUUUAGACUAUUCUGGAGUUAGAGAACUAUGUAGUAUCCUUAGCUUGUGAUACAUGGGUUUCCGGAUUUUGGGCAUAUGUACUAGCUUUUGAGAGUUAAAUAUUGUGUAUGCAGAGCGGCACUUUUAAACGUUAUUUUAUUACUCUAUUUCUAUUUUAAAUUAUUUUCUUCCGCGAAUUUAUUUAUCUUUCGCAUUUUAGGCUUACCUAGUCGUAGAGACUAGGUGGUGUCAUGAUCGUUCACGGAGGGCGCCCAAGGUGCUAUGACUAUCUCAGAAUAUGCAGUUUGUUACACUAGUUUGCCUAGGCAUGCACCAGCUUUGGUUUCUACUGUUCGCGAGAGGGUUCGCUAGUUUAUUGAGGGCCUUAUUCCCAGCAUCAGAUCUAACAUGGCUCGUGAGUUGGAGAUGGAUAUUUCUUAUCAACAGGUGGAGAGUAUUUCUAGGAGGAUUGAGGGUAUGCAUGCUAGGGAUAGAGAGGAGAGGGAGGCCAAGAGGUCUCGAGAGUCGGGCCAUUAUUCUGGAGCCCGUUCCCCAGCUGCAGGUCAUCAUGGUAGGGGUUAUAUGAGUCGCCCUGUUCAUUUAGCUCUUCCUGCAGCCAGUGGUAUUCCAGCUCCUCCUAGGCCUCCGGAGCCUUAUUAUACACCUCUGGUAUCUAGUCGCCUCAUAUGCGGGGUGCUUUCAGAGGUUAGUCCAGCAGACCUGGCCCGAGCCAGUCACAGCCACCACGUCCUCCCAAAGCUUUUUUGAGUGUGGUAACACACACCAUAUGGUGAGGAAUUUCCCUAGACUUGGGAGGGGUGCACCUCUACAGACUUCUCAGCCACAACGUGCCCCACUGAGUUCUCAGGCUAUGGUUACAACUCCAGUUGCUACCCCACCUGCUCAGCCAGCUAGAGGUAGAGGUCAGGGAGGUAGAGGUUGCCCUAGAGGGGGAGGCCAGGCCCGAUACUAUGCCCUUCCUGCCCAUACCGAGGCAGUUGCCUCCGAUUCUUUCAUCCCAGGUAUUAUACUAGUUUGUCACAGAGGUGCAUCAGUUCUAUUCGAUCCAGUCUCUACUUACUCUUAUGUGUGUUCUUAUUUUGCUCCACAUUUGGGUGUACCUCGGGAUUCUUUGAGUUCCCUUGUUUAUGGUUCUACUCUUGUGGGAGAUUCUCUUGUUGUGGACCGCAUUUAUCGGUCGUGUUUGGUUGCUCUUAGUGGUUUUGAGACCAGAGCCGAUUUAUUGUUGCUCAGCAUGGUAGAUUUUGAUAUCAUCUUGGGCAUGGACUGGUUGUCGCCCCAUUAUACUAUUCUUGAUGGUCACGCCAAAACUGUGACGCUGGCUAUGCCAAGUGUACCACAUGUAAAGUGGAGGGGUACUUUAGAUCACACUCAUAAUAGAGUUAUUUCUUUUCUUAAAGCUCAGCGUGUGGUUGAGAAGGGGUGUGACACGUAUUUAGCUUAUGUAAGGGAUGUCAGUAUUCAUACCCCUUGAGUUGAUUCAGUUCCAGUAGUACAGGAUUUUCCCGAUGUGUUUCUAGCUGAUCUUCCGGGCAUGCCACCUGAUAGAGAUAUUAAUUUUGGCAUUGAUUUGUUGUCGGGCACUCAGCCCAUUUCUAUUCCUCCGUAUCGUAUGGCUCCUCCUAGGUAUUUACAUUUGGAACUACGGAACGGGAUUCCGAUAGAUCCCCACGCACUAUAUGUUGGACUACCGGAUGGGAUCCCGGGAGAUCUAUUGGUUAUGUAUAUUUGGGACUACAGGACGGUAUCCUGGGAGAUCCCCGAUUGUUAUUCUUGGUAGUGAGCCAUAUUUCUCUCUAUGUAUUUUGCCUAUAUAGUAGGUGUUGUUGUCCUUUAUAUCCUGUGUUGCUUUUACUGCAUUGUCGAACCUUAUAUUUUUAUUUAACCUCAGUAGGGCCCUGACCUUCCUCGUCACUACCCGACCGAGGUUACGCUUGGCACUCACUGAGUAUCGCUGUGGUGUACUCAUGCCCUUUCUACGCAUGUUUUUCAUGUGCAGAUCUAGGUACUUCGACUCAGACUUACCAUCCUUGAGGCGAGGCAACCCUUCGAAGACUUUGAGAUAUAUUUGUCGCGUCCGCAGACUGAGGAGUCUCUCUCCAUUCUCCCUUGUAGUUACAGCCCUUCUGUAUUUACUUUGUUUUAGACUAUUCUGGAGUUAGAGCACUAUGUAGUAUCCUUAUCUUGUGAUUCAUGGGUUUCCGAGUUUUGAGCAUAUGUACUAGCUUUUGAGAGUUAAAUAUUGUAUAUGUUGAGCGGCACUUUUAAAUUUUGUUUUAUUACUCUAUUUCUAUUUUAAAUUAUUUUCUUCCGCGAAUUUGUUUAUCUUCCUCAUUUUAGGUUUACCUAGUUGUAGAGACUAGGUGCCGUCAUGAUGGUUCACGGAGGGCGAACCGGGGUCAUGACACCAGGUGACCCCGACACACAACCAUAUCAUCCUAAGACCUAUAAGCCAAUUUAAUCCUUUCUCAUGCGCCCAAUAGUAUCUCAAAUUGAAAUGUCCACUCUGAAGAGAAUUUAUAUGAAUUUGAAGUUAUAUAUUUUAUAUCUCUAAUACAGCAAUGUAGAAUCAAUAAUGAUACACAAAUACUACAACUCUCGGGCACAAUCCAAUGCAAAUCUCAAAUCUUUAGCCACACAAUAAAAUUAAAUAAAUCCUUAAGUACCACCUCCUAGAAAUUAAACCCACUAGAACCUUUCUUGAGAGUCAUCCACUCAGCUCUAAUCUCCCAUGUAGCCAAUAAAUGUUGAAUGGCUUGUGCUCCAUUAGCAUAAAAAUAAUUUAAGAAGCAGCCUCAUUCUUAAGCAAUCGAGUGAAUCCUUUCUCUUUAAACAGUACAUCCACAAUGAAUAACAAACCUAACUCAUCCAAAAAUUUUCAUAUACCCAUAGAUCAUAGUACAUCAUACAUCCAACAAAUUCCUUGAUCGAAUCAUCCUCGAAAUCAUCAUAUUCAAGUUAUAAUUGGUCCACAAAUUUUCCCUAAUCCAGAAAAUUACAACAUGUGCCCAAAUGAACCAUAUCGUUGUUUUAGACUCUCUCACUUGGCUCGAAGCCACAAAACACAUCAUCUGAUAUUCCGCAAUUAUCUUCUUUCUUAAGUACCACAAUCUUGCAUUGUUACUCAACUGAAUCUCCUCAUAAGCUCAUGCAACACUAGUCAUCAUACCUCCCAAAACAUCCAUUGAGUUCAUACCCAUCCUCGUGACACUCGUGUGAACUUCCUCAAGCUAUUUAAACUCUAAUUGUAAUACAUGCAUUCCACUAGAUAGAAGGCAAACUCUUUAUAGAAGCCUCAUGAGAAUCACACAACCUCAAAUCUCGUCGCAUGAGAUAACCCACUUGUUAAGCCUCAAACUGACAUCUUCCUAUGACCCUACCAUGGUCACAACCACUAUGUAAUCAAUUAAUCUUCCCGAGUCUACACUUAUCAACAAGAUAUAAUAAUCAAAUUUAUUCCUCUAAAGAACAACCGAAAGAUCCACCGAGACAUCCACAUCUUAAGACUAUACCACACAUUAAGAUAAAAAUCAAACAUCCAUAGCCCUUUGCAUCCCAAGAAAAUAUUUCUCAUUGUAUCCAAACCAUCUAAGCGUAUCUCUCAGUCAUAUAAUACUCAUCACAUAGCUAUCUUGCCACUCAUUGUGCCAUCAAUCCCACUCUUAGAGACACUACCGAGCAUAAGAGUCCAAAGGAACAUACUCAUACAACUAUCUACCAAGUCCAAGCUUUGGUCUAAACCUGGCCUCAAGUCCUCCAAACUGGCCUAUCUUCACAAUACAAAAACACUUCUCGCACCUCAUCCACAACAUCACAAGCCAUUGGUACAUAGAUGAUAAUGAGUGAUCAAUAUCACACAUGACUGAAUGAAAAACAAUUGAAGAUACAGGCUUCAAGCUGAACCAAGGUCGCAUGAUAAUGGAAAGAAAGAAGGUGAAGGUUCCUAGAUACCAUGUAGCCUCUCGAAGAUAAGUAUGUAUGUCAUUAUACCGAUUCUCAAGACUCUACUAGACAUUUGAUCAAGACUCGUAAAACCUAUUAGCCUAAUGCUCUGAUAACAACUUGUCAUGAUCUAAAACCCCACUUAAUCGUGAUGGUAACUAAGACAACCCAUUAGGUAAGCUAAAUAACAAAUAACACAACUCAAAUAAAAUGUCAUCAAUAAACAAUAAAUAAGAUAGCUGAAAUUCCUACAACUAUCCAAAGAAUGGGUGGUAUAAGUCAUGAGCCACUAAGAUUUAGAUGAACAAUGUCGGUAUGAAGAAAAUACAAUAUAAGUUUGAAUAUACAUAAACAUUAGUAAAAAUUCUAAACUGCCAUGAACAAGUGGUACCUUGUAUAUGGAACGCUAGUAAAACUUCAAUGCUAGUCUUCUUCAUCCACAGUAGCUCGACUCCAAGAUCUACACGCAAGGUGCAAAAGUGUAGUAUGAGUACAAUCGAUCUCAUGUACUCAGUAAGUAUAAAGACUAACUUUAAUAAAGUAGUGGUGAGGUUUUCAAGUCAUAAGAUACUCACUUUACUUAACUUGUGCAGCUUAAUAGCAUAAACAUAUACACAACAACAAUAUAGAAAUCUAAGCAUGAAUUAUAGUUAAGCCCAUCAGUGCACACAGAGAAGAUACGUACAAGCAUUACAAACUAACUAACACUCUAGCAUAUAGAGAGGAUAUGCACCUAGCACCAAUAAAUCAUCAAUAGAUGCAUAUAGAGAAGAUAUGUAUAAAUGAACAAGCCCAGUUGCACAAGUUGACAAAUAGAGAAGAUAUAUGAUGUAAAUCAAUUCUUCAACCAAAGCAACAUAUGGAGAGGAUAUGCAUGACCUAUCAAAUAACCGCCAAUAGUGGCAUAUAGAGGAGAAUAGUUUCAUAUAUAAGUAAAGCAGCGUAUAGAAAGAUAUACAAAGAUAUGUAUGAGUAAAUAAGUCAAUUACAUGAAUUAAUAUGCAAAGAUAUGUGCCGUAAACAUUAUAUCAAGUAACGUAGCAUAUAAAUAUAUGCACCAAAAGUAUGUAUACAUCAAGGGCUAGCAUAUACAGAAGAUAUGCAGUAAAUAAUCAUAUAUACAUCCUAGGAGUUUGCAUAGAGAGAAAUGCACAAAAUCCAACCACUGAUCAGUUUUUCAUAAUCCGCAUAUACAUUAUCAAGGAGAAACAUGAGACGACCCUAGGGGUACAUAUCCUUAUCCAUAUGCCACAUGAACAACCCACAUUUCAUAUUAUAACCACUGCAUAGACAACUUAUGUUCCAUGAUCCUGACAACCACACGGACAAUUCAUGUGCUAUAAUAACUUAACCUACACCGACCACUCACGUGCUAUCAAUGCAGUCCAUCACUAUAAAGCAAUACAACUAUAUAUGUAUACAAUAAACGGCUAUAAAAUCACAUGAUCAUGGACUAAGAAAAGUAACAUACUAAGGUGUAUGUGCAUGUGCAAAAUGUACAACUACAAAUCAGAUUAGGCGAGUAUGACAUAAUAAUGAGUUUUACGUUCAAACAAGGAAUCAAAACAUAUGCAUGAUUCAAGAGGUUAUGUAGGCAUAUAGACAUAUAGAGCAUGAUAGCAGGAAGCACAGUAUCCAAAAUAAGGCAUGAUACAACCUUAAGACUUCUACAAUCAUGAAUCAUACAUGGCACCAGUAUAUACACUUCUCACCUCACAUAUACAUCUCUUCUCAAAUAUUUCAAUUAUACAAAUAAGGUCAUAUCCUAAGGGUUAUUCCCUCACAAUAAGAUUAGGCAAAAUACUUACCUCAUCUAGAACUCCAUAUUUGUGACCACAGGUUCACAAUUACGGAGUUUGCAAUAGUGGCCAUAGGUUCGCAAUUGCGACGAAGGUUCGCAAUUGCAACUAGAAGUUCGCAAAUACGGAGGUUGUAAUUGCAAUCAAAUGUUCGCAAUUGCAAAGUAGUAGCACCAACAAUCCCAAACUCAACUGAAAUGGUCCGAAACUACCCAGAAUAACAUUUGAGCCCCUAGAACCUCGUCCAUUUAUUCCAACAAGUCCAUAUGCCCUAUUAUAACUUUUCUAAAGUCUCAAAACAUGAGUGACAAUGUCAAAACCAAUAAUUGAAGAUCGAAUCUAUCUCUUAACUUUCAAAUAUUCAAACUUCGUCGAAUGCGUCUGAAUCACACUUAGAUGUUCUGAAUAACAACCAAACUUUAUGCACAAGUUCAUAUCAACUAUUAGGAACUAUCUAAGGUCUCAAAACUCAAUAGGAGUUUUAUUACACCAAAGUCAAUUCCCGGUCAAACGUACAAACACUCCAAUUCUUCAAAUUGCUAACUUUUGACAAAUAGAUCCAAAGCCUUCCAGAAAAAUAUGAAUUAAAAUUCGAACAUAUGGUGAAGUCCAAAAUUACCAUAUGAAAUUAUUGAAACCAUCAAACCCUAAUUCUGAGGUCAUUUUCUCAAAAGUCAAAUCUGAUCAACUCUACCAACUUAAAGCUUUCAAAUUGGAGGAUCACUCUAUCAAGUUAAUUGUUACGACCCGGCCAGUCGUCUCAUGAAUUACCACUUUGUUUUCCCUAUUUCUACUUCUUUACACUUCGUUAUACGUGUUUUAUGUGAUCGAGUUGAUUAUUUUACGUUCGGAGUGGAUUUGGUAAGAAAUGAGGCACUUAGUCUCUUUUAAAAAGGUUUAAGUUGGAAAAGUCAACCGAAUUUUGACUUAUGUGUUAAAGGGCUCGGAUAUGAGUUCUGAUGGUUCGGUUAGCUUCGGGAGGUAAUUUAUGACUUAUGAGUGUGAUCAGAAUUGGUUUUGGAGGUCUGGAGUAGAAUUAGGCUUGAAUUGGCGAAGUUAGUAUUUUGGCGAUUUCCGGUUGGUUGGCGAGAUUUUGAUCCAAAAGUCAGAAUGGAACUCCGAGAGUUGUUGUAGCUUCGAUAUAUCAUUUGGGAUGUGUGUGCAAAAUUUCAGGUCAUCCGGAUGUGGUUUGGUUGGGUUUUUGAUCGAAAACGUAUUUCGGAAGUUUUUAGAAAACUUAGGCUUGAAUUCGAUGUGAAUUGAUGGAUUUGGCGUUGUUUGAGGUGUUUUGAUGAUUGGAACAAGUUUGAAUGAGGUAUUUGGUUGUGUUGGUGCUUUUGGUUGAGGUCCCGGGGGCAUCGGGGUGAUUUCAGAUGGCUAACGGGAAGUUUUGGAACUUGAGUGAUUGCAGUUUUUUCAACUGCUUCUGGUAUUUUCGCACCUGCGGUUUGGGGACCGCAGGUACGGUAUCGCAGAUACGUUGAUUCGAUCGCAGAAGCGGAAAGGCUGAAUAAGGCCUGGAACCGCAGAUGCGGAAGAGGGACUGCACCUGCGGAGCCGCAGAAGCGGCGAGUGGACCGUAGAUGCGGUGUUGGUCCGUUAAGUGAAAUUCUGCAGAUGUGAAGAAAUGACCGCAGAAGCGGUACCGCAGAAUCGGCUAUUGGAGCGCAGAUACGAUUAGGUCUGCGCAGAAGGUAUACAUGUUUCUUCUUCGCGAUUUUUGAAGGGUUUAACCAUUUUUAACUUCGGCCUUAGAGUUUUUGGGCGAUUUUGAAGAGAGAUUUCAAGGGAAAUUCGAUAAGGUAAGGAUUUUGGACUUAAAACACACUUCUAUGGUGGUAUUCCAUGAAUUAGGACUGAAAUUUAAGGAAUUAAUGGACUAAAAAUGGAGGUUUAGGGCUUGAGUUUAAGAGGGCUUAAAUUAAGGAUUUGAGGGGUCAAUUGAACUCUGAUUCUUAUAUUUUUUAUAUUUAUGAACUCGUGGGGAGAUAAGGAAUCUAAUGAUGUGAAAAUUUCUCAGUUUUGAAAAGUAGGCCCGAGGCUCGGGUUUUGCUAAUUUUGGGAUUUUUUGAUAUUUUUCUAUUUUUUCGCUUGGGCUUUGUUCCCAUAGCAUAUUGUGAUGUAUUCGUUCUGGUUUUGGUCAAAUUCGACGCUCGAAGAGGCCAAUUUGAGAGACAAGGGCAUUGCGAGCUAGAGAUUUAGCCGGUUUGAGGUGAGUAAUGAAUGUAAAUGAUGUCCUGAGGGUUUGAAACCCCGGAUUUGCACAUCGUAGUGCUAUAUUGAGGUGAGACACGCACUUGAUGAUGAGCGUGGGGUCGUUUACUAUUGGGGAUUGUGACUUGGUCCGUCCCGAUUGAUGAUUUUACAGCGUAUUUGAUAGAAACGUAUUUGUUAUCAUCAUUAUUUGGACUGAUUGCCAUAUUUGGGCUUUGUGCCAACUAUUUGAACCCUCCGGGGAUUUUUAUCACUCUUUCCUCACUGUUUUGACUUACUACUUGAACUCAGUCAUACUGUUUUCCACUGUUUUUACAACUCAGCCACUUUUUACUCGAUUUUGGAACUAAAAUGAUAUUUUAAAUGAUGUUUUGGGCUGACGACUACUGUUUUACUAAUGCCCGAGGGGCAUAUGUGAUUUCUGGAUUGAGUAUGACCGAGGGCCAGAUGUGAGGAUACAAUGAUGCUGAUAUGAGGCCGAGGGCCCGAGAUACAUAUAUACGCCACGAGGUGGCUGAUACUGAUAUGAGGUCGAGGGCCUAGAUUUGAUGCCACGAGAUGGCUUGAUAUUGUGCUUGGGCCGUAAGGGGCCCCUCCCGUAGUCUGCACACCCCCAGUGAACGCGGGUACCCAGUUGUGAUAUGAGAGAGAGAGAGAGCCCGAGGGGCUGGUACUGUUUUACGUGUUGAUUUUUCUUUAACUAUCUGUCACUUAACUAUUUAUCUGUUGUAGGAUUAUCUCAUUCCGCUUUUCAUUGGUUUAUUGCUUUUAUACUACUUGUUUAACUUACUACUUGUUUAACUGUCGCAUUAUAGAUUACCCUAUGUAUACAUGAUUUUUUACUCUCAGUCAUUAUUUAUGCUUAUUACUCACUAGGUCGGAGUACUCACAUUACUCAUUGCACCUUGCGUGCAGAUCCUGGUGUUCCAGAGGCUGAGUGAGAGCUUUCCAGUCGAUCAGCAUUAUCCGGGAGUAUUGAGGUAGCUUCAUGGCAUCCGCAACCCUGAUUUCUCCCUUCCUUUCUAAUGUAUUCUACAUUCCUAGAAUGUUUGUGUAGUAGGCUGUUGAAUUUGUAUUAGAGGCUCAAGACUUGUGACACCGGAUCGGGGUGGGCUAUGUAGUAGUAUUAUCUUUUGACUUCCGCAUAUUUAACUUGCUAUUUCAGAACCUUAUUAUGUUAAUUUGAUAAUUAAACUAUGUUAGCUGAUAUUGGAUUUUAUAAGGAAAUGGGUUGUAGUUGAUAGUUGGUCAGACUUGCCUAGCAAUGUGUUGGGCGCCAUCACGACCGGGGUUGGGGUCGUGACAAGUUGGUAUUAGAGCCUAGGUUACAUAGGUCUCGCAAGCCAAGAGCCGAUUUAGUAGAGUCUCGCGGAUCGAUACGGAGACGUCUGUAUUUAUCCUUGAGAGGCUGCAGAACCUUUAGGAAAAACUUCAUAUUCUUGAAACUCUUGUCGUGUGAACUUGUUGGUCCGAGUACUAAACUUCUGUUAUUCCAUUCUCUCGCAGAUGGUGAGGACGCGAGCUACUGGACGAGGUGGACGACCACCAGUGCCACCAGCUGAGACCACCAGAGGCAGUUGAUGCGGUCGUGGUCGUGGCAGAGGCAGAGCAGCGAGGGCAGCACCUGUAGAUCCACCAGCUGCCCUAACUCGGGAUCAGGCUCCAGCUUUGGAUGCUCCAACAACACCAGUUCAGGCACCAGUUGUGCCCAUUGUCAUUCCGGGUCUUCAGGAGGCCUUGGCACAGAUCUUAUCAGUUUGUACUGGCCUGGCUCAGGCAGUUUUAGCCACCAUAGCAGCAGGUACUUCAUGGGAGGCGAUCAAACCCCCUCUGCUCGCACACCUGAGCAGGUAGUGUAGGGACUUCAGACGCCGGGAGCACCUCCAGCCCAUCCGGUUGCACCAGCUUAGGAGUUUGUUGUGCCAGUUAUGCUGGAUGAUGAGCAGCGUCAUCUUAAGAGGUUUGGUAGACUCCAGCCUUCAUCAUUUAGUGGUGUUGAGGGCGAGGAUGCCCAGGGUUUUCUAGAUAAGUGUCAGCGGAUGCUCCGUACAGCUGGGAUUCUUGAGUCUAGUGGUGUGGAAUGUACUACCUUUCAGUUUUCUGGGGCUGCCUUCACUUGGUGGGAGGCGUAUGAGANNNNNNNNNNNNNNNNNNNNNNNNNNNNNNNNNNNNNNNNNNNNNNNNNNNNNNNNNNNNNNNNNNNNNNNNNNNNNNNNNNNNNNNNNNNNNNNNNNNNNNNNNNNNNNNNNNNNNNNNNNNNNNNNNNNNNNNNNNNNNNNNNNNNNNNNNNNNNNNNNNNNNNNNNNNNNNNNNNNNNNNNNNNNNNNNNNNNNNNNNNNNNNNNNNNNNNNNNNNNNNNNNNNNNNNNNNNNNNNNNNNNNNNNNNNNNNNNNNNNNNNNNNNNNNNNNNNNNNNNNNNNNNNNNNNNNNNNNNNNNNNNNNNNNNNNNNNNNNNNNNNNNNNNNNNNNNNNNNNNNNNNNNNNNNNNNNNNNNNNNNNNNNNNNNNNNNNNNNNNNNNNNNNNNNNNNNNNNNNNNNNNNNNNNNNNNNNNNNNNNNNNNNNNNNNNNNNNNNNNNNNNNNNNNNNNNNNNNNNNNNNNNNNNNNNNNNNNNNNNNNNNNNNNNNNNNNNNNNNNNNNNNNNNNNNNNNNNNNNNNNNNNNNNNNNNNNNNNNNNNNNNNNNNNNNNNNNNNNNNNNNNNNNNNNNNNNNNNNNNNNNNNNNNNNNNNNNNNNNNNNNNNNNNNNNNNNNNNNNNNNNNNNNNNNNNNNNNNNNNNNNNNNNNNNNNNNNNNNNNNNNNNNNNNNNNNNNNNNNNNNNNNNNNNNNNNNNNNNNNNNNNNNNNNNNNNNNNNNNNNNNNNNNNNNNNNNNNNNNNNNNNNNNNNNNNNNNNNNNNNNNNNNNNNNNNNNNNNNNNNNNNNNNNNNNNNNNNNNNNNNNNNNNNNNNNNNNNNNNNNNNNNNNNNNNNNNNNNNNNNNNNNNNNNNNNNNNNNNNNNNNNNNNNNNNNNNNNNNNNNNNNNNNNNNNNNNNNNNNNNNNNNNNNNNNNNNNNNNNNNNNNNNNNNNNNNNNNNNNNNNNNNNNNNNNNNNNNNNNNNNNNNNNNNNNNNNNNNNNNNNNNNNNNNNNNNNNNNNNNNNNNNNNNNNNNNNNNNNNNNNNNNNNNNNNNNNNNNNNNNNNNNNNNNNNNNNNNNNNNNNNNNNNNNNNNNNNNNNNNNNNNNNNNNNNNNNNNNNNNNNNNNNNNNNNNNNNNNNNNNNNNNNNNNNNNNNNNNNNNNNNNNNNNNNNNNNNNNNNNNNNNNNNNNNNNNNNNNNNNNNNNNNNNNNNNNNNNNNNNNNNNNNNNNNNNNNNNNNNNNNNNNNNNNNNNNNNNNNNNNNNNNNNNNNNNNNNNNNNNNNNNNNNNNNNNNNNNNNNNNNNNNNNNNNNNNNNNNNNNNNNNNNNNNNNNNNNNNNNNNNNNNNNNNNNNNNNNNNNNNNNNNNNNNNNNNNNCCCAUGAGUUUCUUGCUUUACCUAUUCAUGUAUCUACCCUGGUUGGCGAUAUUAUUGUUGUUGACCGUGUAUACCGGUCAUGUAUGGUGACUAUUAGGGGUCUGGAGACCCGAGUGAAUCUAUUGCUAUUGAGCAUGAUAGAUUUUGAUGUCAUUUUGGGCAUGGAUUGGUCAUCUCCGUGUCAUGCUAUUCUAGACUGUCAUGCUAAGACAGUCACUUUGGCUAUGCCGGGUGUGCCGCGAAUCGAGUGGCGUGGUGUGACUGAUUAUGUUCCUAGUAGAGUGAUCUCUUUCUUGAAGGCCUAGCGUAUGGUUGGGAAGGGUUGUCUUUCAUAUCUAACAUUUGUGAGGGAUGUUGGAGCUGAGACUCCAAGUAUUGAUUUUGUACCAGUUGUGAGGGAUUUUCCCGAUAUAUUUCCUGCAGACCUGUCGGGUAUGCCACCGGACAGGGAUAUUGAUUUUGGUAUUGACCUGGUGUCGGGCGCUCAGCCCAGUUUUAUUCCGCCAUAUCGUAUGGCACCAACGAAGUUGAAAGAAUUGAAAGAACAGCUUCAGGAACUCCUAGAUAAGGGGUUCAUUCGGCCUAGUGUGUCACCUUGGGGAGCGCUGGUUCUGUUUAUGAAGAAGAAUGAUGGCACAAUGAGAAUGUCAUUGAUUAUAGGAAAUUGAACAAGGUAACAAUUAAGAACAAGUAUCCUUUGCCUCGGAUUGAUGAUUUAUUUGACCAGCUUCAGGAAGCGAGGGUGUUCUCCAAGAUUUAUAUCCGUUUGUGUUAUCACCAGUUGAAGAUCAGGGAUUCAGUUAUUCUUAAGACUGCUUUCAAGACCAGAUAUGGUCAUUAUGAGUUUCUUGUUAUGUCUUUCGGGCUAACCAAUGUCCCAGCAGCAUUCAUGCAUUUAAUGAACAACGUGUUCUAUCCUUAUCUUGAUUCAUUCGUUAUAGUAUUCAUUGAUGAUAUUCUGGUAUACUCGCAUAGUUAGGAGGAGCACACGGAGCAUUUGAGAGUUGUAUUGCAGAGAUUAAUGGAGGAGAAGCUUUAUGCAAAAUUCUCCAAGUGUGAGUUUUGGCUCAGUUCAGUGGCUUUCUUGGGGCACGUGGUGUCCAGCGAGGGUAUUCAGGUUGAUCCAAAGAAGAUUGAGGUGGUUCAGAGUUGGCCUAGAUCGUCCUCAGCCACAGAGAUUUGUAGCUUUAUUGGGUUGGCAGGCUAUUAUCACCGGUUUGUUUAGGGAUUCUCAUCUAUCGCAUCGCCCUUGACCAAGUUGACUCAAAAGGGUGUUUCAUUUGUAUGGUCGGACGAGUGUGAGGAGAGCUUUCAGAAGCCCAAGACAGUUUUGACCAUAGCUCCAGUAUUGGUUUUGCCAUCAACUUCAGGUUCAUAUACCGUGUAUUGUGAUGCUUCGAGAGUUGGGAUUGGUUGUGUAUUGAUGCAGGAGGGUAGAGUUAUUGCUUUUGCUUCUCGUCAGUCGAAGCCCCAUGAGAAGAACUACCAUGUUCAUGAUUUGGAGUUGGCCGCCAUAGUUCAUGCAUUGAAGAUUGGGAGGCAUUAUUUGUAUGGAGUAUCUUGUGAGGUAUUCACCGAUCAAGUCUUCAACAUUUGUUCAGGCAAAAGGAUCUUAAUUUGAGGCAGCGGAGAUGGUUGGAGUUGCUCAAGGAUUAUGAUAUCACUAUAUAGUACCAUCCGGGAAAGGCCAAUGUGGUAGCCAAUUCUUUGAGCCGAAAGGCAGUGAGUAUGGGGAGUUUGGCAUAUAAUCCAGUUGGGGAGAGACCCCUAGCAGUUGAUGUUCAAGCCUUGGCCAAUCGGUUCGUGAGGUUGGAUAUUUCGGAGCCUAGUCGGGUGUUGGCGUGUGUGAUUUCUUAGUCUUCCUUGUAUAAUCGCAUCAGAGAGCACCAGUAUGAUGAUUCGCAUUUGCUUGUCCUUAGGGACAGAGUUCAGCAUGAUGAUGCUAGAUAUGUGACCAUCGGCGAUGAUGGAGUAUUGAGUAUACAGGGCCGGAUUUGUGUGUCCAAUGUGGAUGGGCUUAGAUAGUUGAUUCUGGAGGAGGCCCAUAGCUCGCGGUAUUCCAUUCAUCCGGGUUCCGCGAAGAUGUAUCAGGAUUGGAGGCAACACUAUUGGUGGAGAAGAAUGAAGAAAGAUAUUGUGGGAUUUGUAGCUCGGUGUCUCAACUUUCAGCAGGGAAAAUAUAAGCAUCAGAGACCGGGUGGCUUGCUUCAGCAGAUGGUUAUUCCCGAGUGGAAGUGGGAGAGGAUUACUAUAGACUUUGUUGUUGGACUUCCACGGACUUUGAAGAAGUUCGAUGCUAUUUGGCUGAUUGUGUAUCGGCUGACCAAGUCUGCGGACUUCAUUCCUGUGUGUACUACUUAUUCUUCAGAGCGGUUAGUAGAGAUAUAUAUAUCCGGGAGAUUGUUUGGUUGUAUGGUGUUCCGGUUUCCAUCAUCUCAGAUAGAGGUACUCAGUUUACUUCCUAGUUUUGGAAGUCUGUUCAGCGAGAGUUGGGUACUCAGGUGGAGUUGAGCACAGCUUUUCAUCCUCAGACGGAUGGGUAGUCCGAGCGUACUAUUCGGAUAUUGGAGGACAUGUUGCGUUCUUGUGUUAUUGAUUUCAGAGGUUCAUGGGAUACGUUUCUACCACUUGCAGAGUUUGCCUACAACAACAGCUACCAGUCGAGUAUUUGGAUGGCUCCAUAUGAGGCUUUGUAUGGGAGGCGGUGUAGAUCUCCAGUUGGUUGGUUCGAGCCCGGCGAGGCUAGGCUAUUGGGGACAGAUUUGGUUCAGGAUGCCUUAGAGAAGGUGAAGGUGAUUCAGGAGAGGCUUCGUAUAGCGCAGUCGCAUCAGAAGAGUUAUGCGGACUGAAAGGUUCGGGAUGUGUCCUAUAUGGUGGGUGAGAAGGUCUUGUUGAAGGUUUCGCCCAUGAAGGGUGUUAUGAGAUUUGGGAAGAAAGGAAAGUUGAGUCCGCGGUUUAUUGGGCUUUUGAGGUGCUUCGGAGGAUUGGGGAUGUGGCUUAUGAGCUUGCUUUUCCACCCAGUAUGUCGAAUGUGCAUCUGGUAUUUCAUGUUUCUAUGCUCCGAAAGUAUAUCGAGGAUCUGUCUCAUGUUUUGGACUUCAGCACGGUUUAGUUGGGUGAUAAUUUGACCUUUGAUGUGGAGCCAGUAGCUAUUUUGGGCCAUCAGGUUCGGAAGUUGAGAUCAAAGGAUAUAGCUUUAGUGAAAGUGCAAUGGAGAGGUCGGCCCGUGGAGGAGGCUACCUGGGAGACCGAGCGGGAGAUGCAGAGCAGAUAUCCUCAUCCAUUUGAGGCUUCAGGUAUGUUUCUUGACUCGUUCGAGGACGAACGUUUGUUUAAGUUGGGGAGGAUGUGAUGACCCGGCCAGUCGUCUCAUGAUUACCGCUCCAUUUUCCCUAUUUCUACUUCUUUAUGCUUCGUUAUUCGUGUUUUAUGUGAUCGAGUUGAUUAGUUUGCGUUCAGAGUGGAUUUGGUAAGAAAUGAGGCACUUAGUCUCUUUUAAGAAGGUUUAAGUUGAAAAAGUCAAACGGAUAUUGACUUAUGUGUUAGAGGGAUCAGAUGUGAGUUCUGAUGGUUCGGUUAUCUUCGGGAGAUGAUUUAUGACUUAGGAGUGUGAUCAGAAUUGGUUUUGGAGGUCCGGAGUAGAAUUAGGCUUGAAUUGGCGAAGUUAGUAUUUUGGCGAUUUCUGGUUGGUUGGCGAGAUUUUGAUCCAAGGGUCGGAAUGGAAUUCCGAGAGUUGUUGUAGCUUUGUUAUGUCAUUUGGGAUGUGUGUGCAAAAUUUCAGGUCAUUCGGACGUGGUUUAGUUGGAUUUUGAAUCGAAAAUGUAUUUCGGAAGUUUUUAGAAAACUUAGGCUUGAAUUCGAUGUGAAUUGAUGGAUUUGGCAUUGUUUGAGGUGUUUUGAUGAUUCGAACAAGUUUGAAUGAGGUAUUGGGUUGUGUUGGUGCUUUUGGUUGAGGUCCCGGGGGCCUCGGGGUGAUUUCGGAUGGCUAACGGGAAGUUUUGGAACUUGAGUAAUUGCGGUUUUUUCUGCUGCUUCUGGUGUUUUCGCACCUGCGGUUUGGGGACUGCAGGUGCGGUAUCGCAGAUGCGUUGAUUCGAUCGCAGAAGCGGAAAGGCUAAAUAAGGCCUGGAACCGCAGAUGCGGAAGAGGGACCGCACCUGCGGAGCCGCAGAAGCGGCGAGUGGACCGCAGAUGCGGUGUUGGUCCGUUAAGUGAAAUUCCGUAUAUGCGGAGAAAUGACCGCAGAAACGGUACCGCAGAAGCGGCUGUUGGACCGCAGAUGCUGUUAUGUCUAGGCAGAAGGUAUAUAUGUUUCUUCUUCGCGAUUUUUGAAGGGUUUAACCAUUUUUAAUUUCGGACUUAGAGUUUUUGGGUAAUUUUGAAGAGAGAUUUCAAGGGAACUUUGAUAAGGUAAGGAUUUUGGACUUAAAACACACUUCUAUGGUGGUAUUCCAUGAAUUAGGACUGAAAUAUAAGGAAUUAAUGGACUAAAAAUGGAGGUUUAGGGCUUGAGUUUAAGAGGGCUUAAAUUAAGGAUUUGAGGGGUCAGUUGAACUCCGAUUCUGGUGUUUUUGAUAUGUAUGAACUCGUGGGGAGAUAAAGCAUCUAAUGAUGUGAAAAUUUCUGAGUUUCGAGAAGUGGGCCCGGGGCUCGAGUUUUGCUAACUUCGGGAUUUUUUGAUAUUUUUCGAUUGUUUUCGCUUGGGCUUUGUUUCCUUAGCAUAUUGUGACAUAUUCAUUCUGGUUUUGGUCAGAUUCGACGCGCGAGGAGGCCGAUUUGAGAGGCAAGGGCGUCGCGAGCUAGAGAUUUAGCCGGUUUGAGGUGAGUAAUGAAUGUAAAUGAUGUCCUGAGGGUUUGAAACCCCGAAUUUGCACAUCGUAGUGCUAUAUUGAGGUGAGACACGUGCUUGAUGAUGAGCGUGGCGUCGUUUACUAUUGGGGAUUGUGACUUGGCCCAUCCCGAUUGAUGAUUUUACCGCGUAUUUGAUUGAAACGUAUUUGUUAUCAUCAUUAUUUGGACAGAUUGUCAUAUUUGGAAUUCGUGCCAACUAUUUGAACCCUCCGAGGAUUUUUAUCACUAUUUCCUCACUGUUUUGACUUACUACUUGAACUCAGUCGUACUGUUUCCACUGUUUUUACAACUCAACCACUUUUUACUCGGUUUUGGAACUAAAAUGAUAUUUUAAAUGAUGUUUAGGCUGAGGACUACUGUUUUACUAAUGCCCGAGGGGCUUAUGUGAUUUCUGGACUGAGUAUGGUCGAGGGCCAGAUGUGAGGAUACAAUGAUACUGAUAUAAGGCCGAGGGCCUGAGAUUCAUAUUUACGCCGCGAGGUGGCUGAUACUGAUAUGAGGCUGAGGGCCUAGAUUUGAUGCCACGAGAUGGCUUGAUAUUGCGCUUGGGUCGUAAGGGGCCUCUCCCGGAGUCUGCACACCCCCCGUGAGCGCGGGUACCCAAUUAUGAUAUGAGAGAGAGAGCCCGAGGGGCUGGUACUGUUCUACGUGUUGAUUUUUCUGUAACUGUCUGUCACUUAACUGCUUAUCUGUUGUAGAAUUAUCUCAUUCUGCUUUUCAUUGGUUUAUUUCUUUUAUACUACUUGUUUAACUGUCGCAUUAUAGAUUACCCUGUGUAUACGUGAUCUCUUACUCUCGGUCAUUAUUUAUGCUUAUUACUCACUGGGUCGGAGUAUUCACAUUACUCUCUGCACCUUGCGUGUAGAUCCAGGUAUUCCAGAGGCUGAGUUAGAGCUUUCCAGUCGAUCAGCAUUAUCCGGGAGUAUCGAGGUAGCUGCAUGGCAUCCGCAACCCUGAUUUUUCCCUUCCUUUCUAUUGUAUUUCGCAUUCCUAGACUGUUUGUGUAGUAGGCUAUUGAAUUUGUAUUUGAGGCUCGAGACUUGUGACACCGGAUCGGGGUGGGCUAUGUAGUAGUAUUAUCUUUUGACUUCCGCAUAUUUAACUUGCUGUUUCAGAACCUUAUAAUAUUAAUUUGAUAAUUAAACUGUGUUAGCUGAUAUUGGAUUUUAUAAGAAAAUGGGUUGUGGUUGAUAGUUGGUCAGGCUUGCCUAGCAAUGUGUUGGGUGCCAUCACGACCGGGGUUGGGGUCGUGACAUCAAUCCUUAAUAUUUAGAACAUAAAAACAAACCAUAUACAAAAGUCAUAAUACAUCAUAUGAAGCUACUUAAGUUCUCAAGCUACCGAAUGAAAAUUCUAAAGUUUGAAACGAUCGGUCGAGUUGUUACAAGUAACUUGGCAAAAGUUAUAUGGAGGUGUGCAGGAGGUUUGGAAGCAUUAUACCUCAGGAAAUAGUGGGAUGAAUUUAACAAAAUUAUACAGUUAGGGAGUGUGGAUCAAUAUCAAGAACGAUUUGAGGGACUCACUAGCUAUAUGACCACUAUUAAUCCAUUAUUAAAUGACACCCACAUUGUUUCUAUCUAUAUUAGUGGUUUAAAACCUGAAUUGAAACCACUACUAGCUAACCCCUCAACUAUUAUGGAUGUUUAUGAGAAUGCUAAAUUGUAUGAGGAGUUUUUGCAGCCUUUGCUUCACUCAUUCCCUCAAAACCUGUUUAUUACCUAUCUAACCCAAGACCCUUAGCCCUUACCUAUCCUAGAGCCCCCCAAAAUCCCAAACCAAUAGCCCUACCAAAUCCUAACCAACCUUUGAGAAUUACUUACCCAAACCAAAAGCCACAUGUUAGUGCUCCCCUCAAACCAAAUUCUUUUGAAGCAUUGAGAGAAUAGGGUUUGUGUUAUAAAUGUAAAGACAGGUAUUACCCAGGUCAUAUGUGUAAAGACAAGACUUUCCAUGUUAUGGAAGGGGUGCUAGUGGAAGGUGAACCAGAGAUAGACGAGUUUGUAGAUGUCACAUAAACCUUUGAGUAAAAUAUAGAAGAACAAGUUGAAGUUUCAAUUAAUUUAGUGCUUGGAUUAGGUAGCUCUACUUCUAUCAUUAAGUUACUUGGCUUUGCUAAAAUGAUUUCUUGAUUGUGCUAAUUGAUAGUGGCUCCACCCACUCUUUUGUUGAUCCUUAUGUAUCCAACUACUUAAGGUUACAAGUGUAGCCUAGUACAGUACCUUUAAAAGUAUCUGUGGAAAUGGUGAAUCCAUGUACUGCAAUAAGGAAUGCCCUCUGUUUUCUUGGAAAAUGCAGGAUGAAGUGUUUUCAAUUAAUAUUAAGCUUAUGAAGGUUGGGGAUUGUGAUAUGGUCCUAGGGAUGGAAUGGAUAGACCUUUUUGCUCCAGUAAUACCAAGACACACAGCUAAUCCUUUCAAAAGGAAGGUAAGAUUGUAACCUUAUGGGGCAUAAAUAAGAAGCUUGAACGGCCAUUACUUGAUAGUGGAGCACUCAAAAGAAUGUUGUAGUGUAAAACUUGUAAGGUGUUGACUGAAAUAUGUAUGAAGAACUCUAGGAAUGCAACAACUGGAAAAGAGGUGAUAAAUCCUAUUGUGGAAAGGCUAUUGUCAACUUACAUAGAAGUGUUUCAAGAACCAACUAAAUUUUCACCUAAAAGGAGUUGUGAUCAUGCAAUAAACAUGGUUCCUGAUGCAUAGCCGUUCAAUUUGAGACCUUACAGGUACUCUCAUGAUCAACAGAAUGUAAAAGAUUCAAUAAUAAAUGAUAUGCUUGAGGCAUAAAUAGUGAUUUUAUUCAUUCAUCCUUUUCUCCCCCUACCUUACUUGGUAAAAAGAAAGUCACUUGAGGAGGCUUUGUGUCGAUUAUAGAUGGUUGAAUGCCUUGACCAUUAAAAAUAAGUCUCUUAUCCCUAUGAUUGAUGAUUUGUAGGAUGAAUUACAUGGGGUUAUUGUGUUCUCUAAGGUGGAUCUCAGGUCUGGAUACUAGGUGAGAAUCAAUACCGAAUAUGAGCAUAAAAUUGCCUUUUUAACCCACCAUGGGAUGUGGUAGUUUAGAGUCAUGCCAUUUGGACUAACAAAUGCCUCUUCUACUUUCUAGUUCUUAGUGAAUGAACUCUUUAAAGAGAAAUUGAGAAUGUUUAUAUUGAUGUAUUUUGAUGAUAUUUUGGUGUAUAGCAAGACUAUGAAAGAUCACCUACUACACCCUGAAGUAGUAUUGCAGCUAAAGAAAAGGAAUAAGCUAUUUGCUAAAGAAGUAAGUGUGACUUUUCUCAACCACAAGUUGAGUUUCUUGGGCACAUUAUUUCAGGAAAGGGUGUAAGCAUUGAGUACAAGAGAUUAAUUUCAUUGUUAGAGUGCCACAAUCUGCUACUGUGAAGGAGUUGAGAGGUUUUCUAGGUCUGACUAGAUAUUACAGGAAGUUUGUUACAAAGUAUGCAUAACUCAAUUGGCCCUUAACUAAUUUAUUGAGUAAGGGAAGCUUCAAUUAGAGCCUUGAAGCAACCGAAAAAGGCUAUGACCAAAGCUCCAGUAUUGAACCUACAUUACUUUAGCGAUCCUUCCAUUCUUGAAGUAGAACCAUGCAACACUGGGGUGGGAGUUGUAUUGAUACAAGAAAAGAGUCCAUUAGCGUUCAUGAUCAGUCCUUAAGCAAAAGGUAUCAAAGAUUAUCAACUUAUGAUAAAAAGUCGAUUGCUCUUUUGAUAGCAGUGGAAAGGUGCAGGCACUACUUGCACCCACACCGCUUCAUAAUUAAAACUGAUCAUUUUAGUUUGAAAUUUUUGCAAGAACAAAAUAUUACCACUUCCUUGCAACACAAAGGCUUAACCAAGCUGAUGGAAUUGAGCUAUGAAAUUCAAUAUAAAAAAGGAGUAAAAAAUAUUGUAGCUGAUGCCUUAUCAAGGAGAAGUGAAAUAGCAACCAGCCACAGUGCCUUGUAGUAAGUCAAUUGUAGCCCAAAUGGUUUGAAGAAGUGGCGGCUAGUUAUGAAGGAGAUCAAGAAGUGAUGCAACCUAUUUCUAAUCACACCACUAAUCCAACUAUUAUUAUGGAUAUCACUCUAUAGUAGGGUUUACUAAGGCACAAAAGAAAGUUUGGAUUAGCAAUCAUGGGAACCUAAGACAUCAAUCACAAUUAUACAUAACUCUUAAUUGGGAGGACAUUGAGGUGUGAUGGCUACAUACCAAAGAGUGAAGACAAUGUUCUAUUGGCCUUCAAUGAUCAAGAAUGUGAAGCUAAUUGUGCAGGAGUGUGAGGAAUGUCAGAGAUGUAAAAAUGAGUAUGUGGACUAUCUUGGACUUCUACAACCACUACUUGUGCCUGAGAAGGCUUGGGAACAUAUCUCAAUGGAUUCAUUGAGAACUUACCAAAAUCUAAAGGUUAGGACACUAUUCUAGUAAUAGUGGACAGGUAUAGCAAAUAUGUCUAUUUUCUUUCCUUAGCUCACCCCUUCACAACAUCUCAAGUGGAAAAGUUAUUCAUGGAUACAAUCUAUAAAUUACAUGGACUACCUAAGAGCAUAGUUUCAAAAAAAAGACAAACUAUUUAUCACCAAUUUUUGGAAAGAACUUUUCAAGUAUUUGCAAGUGCGUCUACUUUAUAACUUUGCUUAUCAUCCAUAAAUGGAUGGACAAACAAAAAUGUUGAAUAAGUGUCUAAAAACUACUUAAGGUGCAUGACAAUACAUAAGCCUAGGGAAUGGAAUAAAUAAUUGCAUUUAGCUGAGUUUUGGUACAACAAUACUUACCAUAUUUCAUUGAAGAUGACUAGUUUCAAGGUAAUAUAUGGUUAUGAUCCUCUACAAUUAUCCUUUGAGUUGGUUGCACAGACUAGAGUAGCUGCUACUGAUGAGAUACUUAAGAAAAGACAGGUGAUGGCCAAAGUGGUGAAAACCCGAAAAAGGCUCAGAACAUAAUGAAAAUUUAUGCUGGCGAGAAGAGGACUGAGAGAAAGUUUGAAGUAUGUGACUGAUUUAUUUUUAAGCUACAAUCAUACAGACAAAUAUUUGUGGCAGUAAAAAGGAGUUUGAAGUUGGCUUCUAAGGUUUAUGGCCCUUAGUAGAUUAUUCAAAAAGUUGGACCUGUUGCAUAGAAGUUGAAGUUGCCCCCUUCGGCUAAGAUACAUCUUGUAUUUCACAUUUCUCAACCCAAGAAGAAGGUGAGACCUCAGACUAUAUCUUUAAUUGAUUCACCUAUCAGUUCUCUAGAGGGACAACCUUUGGUAGAACAUGUUGUUGUACUGGAUAGGAUAAUGGAGAAAAAAGGGAAGUAAAGCCAUAACUCAAGUUUUUCAGUGUGCCAACUUACUACCUGGAGAAGCUACUUGGGAAGACUACAAUUUCAUCAGGUCCCAGUUCCCAGAUUUUGAUGAAACUUAAGGACCAGGCUCUGAAGGAGGAUGGAUUGUUACGACUUUCUGAAGUUUUUAAUUUUACAAUUGGUCUAUGUUUAAAUUCAAGUUGUAGUAUUAAAUUAUGCCAAUGGAGAUCCCUAGAUUAGUAUUG
rnacentral:lncRNA from 1 species